UCAAGCGAACAAGUGCAUGUGGUGGAUGCCUUGGCGAUCACAGGCGAUGAAGGACGCGGUAGCCUGCGAAAAGCCCCGGGGAGCUGGCAAACAAGCUUUGAUCCGGGGAUGUCCGAAUGGGGAAACCCACUCCGUAUGGAGUAUCCAUGACUGAAUACAUAGGUCAUGUGAAGCGAACGCGGUGAACUGAAACAUCUAAGUAACCGCAGGAAAAGAAAUCAACCGAGAUUCCCAAAGUAGUGGCGAGCGAAAUGGGAUGAGCCUUGUACUCUUUAUUUGUAUUGUUAGCCGAACGCUCUGGAAAGUGCGGCCAUAGCAGGUGAUAGCCCUGUAGGCGAAAACAGUAUGAAAGAACUAGGUGUACGACAAGUAGGGCGGGACACGUGAAAUCCUGUCUGAAGAUGGGGGGACCAUCCUCCAAGGCUAAAUACUCGUGAUCGACCGAUAGUGAACCAGUACCGUGAGGGAAAGGCGAAAAGAACCCCGGGAGGGGAGUGAAAUAGAUCCUGAAACCGCAUGCAUACAAACAGUCGGAGCCUCGUAAGGGGUGACGGCGUACCUUUUGUAUAAUGGGUCAGCGACUUACGUUCAGUAGCAAGCUUAACCGUAUAGGGCAGGCGUAGCGAAAGCGAGUCCGAAUAGGGCGUUCAGUUGCUGGGCGUAGACCCGAAACCAGGUGAUCUAUCCAUGGCCAGGAUGAAGGUGCGGUAACACGUACUGGAGGUCCGAACCCACUAACGUUGAAAAGUUAGGGGAUGAGCUGUGGAUAGGGGUGAAAGGCUAAACAAACCUGGAAAUAGCUGGUUCUCUCCGAAAACUAUUUAGGUAGUGCCUCGUGUCUCACCUUCGGGGGUAGAGCACUGUCAUGGUUGGGGGGUCUAUUGCAGAUUACCCCGCCAUAGCAAACUCCGAAUACCGAAGAGUGCAAUCACGGGAGACAGACAUCGGGUGCUAACGUCCGGUGUCAAGAGGGAAACAACCCAGACCGCCAGCUAAGGUCCCCAAAUAUGGCUAAGUGGGAAACGAAGUGGGAAGGCUAAAACAGUCAGGAGGUUGGCUUAGAAGCAGCCACCCUUUAAAGAAAGCGUAAUAGCUCACUGAUCGAGUCGUCCUGCGCGGAAGAUGUAACGGGGCUAAGCCAUAUACCGAAGCUGCGGAUGCGUGCUUGCACGCAUGGUAGGAGAGCGUUCCGUAAGCCUGCGAAGGUGCCUUGUAAAGGGUGCUGGAGGUAUCGGAAGUGCGAAUGCUGACAUGAGUAGCGAUAAAGGGGGUGAAAGGCCCCCUCGCCGUAAGCCCAAGGUUUCCUACGCAACGUUCAUCGGCGUAGGGUGAGUCGGCCCCUAAGGCGAGGCAGAAAUGCGUAGCUGAUGGGAAGCAGGUCAAUAUUCCUGCACCAUUGUUAGAUGCGAUGGGGGGACGGAUCGCGGAAGGUUGUCCGGGUGUUGGACGUCCCGGUCGCUGCAUUGGAGAAGGCGCUUAGGCAAAUCCGGGCGCAGGAUUCAAGGGUGUGGCGCGAGCGACUUCGGUCGCGAAGCAAUUGGAAGUGGUUCCAAGAAAAGCCUCUAAGCUUCAGUCUAACGAUGACCGUACCGCAAACCGACACAGGUGGGCGAGAUGAGUAUUCUAAGGCGCUUGAGAGAACUCGGGAGAAGGAACUCGGCAAAUUGGUACCGUAACUUCGGGAUAAGGUACGCCCUUGUAGCUUGACUGGCCUGCGCCAGGAGGGUGAAGGGGUUGCAAUAAACUGGUGGCUGCGACUGUUUAAUAAAAACACAGCACUCUGCAAACACGAAAGUGGACGUAUAGGGUGUGACGCCUGCCCGGUGCCGGAAGAUUAAAUGAUGGGGUGCAAGCUCUUGAUUGAAGUCCCGGUAAACGGCGGCCGUAACUAUAACGGUCCUAAGGUAGCGAAAUUCCUUGUCGGGUAAGUUCCGACCUGCACGAAUGGCGUAACGAUGGCCACACUGUCUCCUCCCGAGACUCAGCGAAGUUGAAGUGUUUGUGAUGAUGCAAUCUACCCGCGGCUAGACGGAAAGACCCCAUGAACCUUUACUGUAGCUUUGCAUUGGACUUUGAACCGAUCUGUGUAGGAUAGGUGGGAGGCUAUGAAACCGGAACGCUAGUUUCGGUGGAGCCGUCCUUGAAAUACCACCCUGGUUUGUUUGAGGUUCUAACCUUGGUCCGUGAUCCGGAUCGGGGACAGUGCAUGGUAGGCAGUUUGACUGGGGCGGUCUCCUCCCAAAGGGUAACGGAGGAGUACGAAGGUACGCUAGGUACGGUCGGAAAUCGUGCUGAUAGUGCAAUGGCAUAAGCGUGCUUAACUGCGAGACCGACAAGUCGAGCAGGUGCGAAAGCAGGUCAUAGUGAUCCGGUGGUUCUGUAUGGAAGGGCCAUCGCUCAACGGAUAAAAGGUACUCUGGGGAUAACAGGCUGAUACCGCCCAAGAGUUCAUAUCGACGGCGGUGUUUGGCACCUCGAUGUCGGCUCAUCUCAUCCUGGGGCUGUAGCCGGUCCCAAGGGUAUGGCUGUUCGCCAUUUAAAGAGGUACGUGAGCUGGGUUUAAAACGUCGUGAGACAGUUUGGUCCCUAUCUGCCGUGGGCGUUGGAUAUUUGAAGGGGGCUGCUCCUAGUACGAGAGGACCGGAGUGGACGAACCUCUGGUGUACCGGUUGUGACGCCAGUCGCAUCGCCGGGUAGCUAUGUUCGGAAGAGAUAACCGCUGAAAGCAUCUAAGCGGGAAACUCGCCUUAAGAUGAGAUAUCCCUGGAGGCUUGACCUCCUUGAAGGGUCGUUCGAGACCAGGACGUUGAUAGGUCGGGUGUGUAAGCGCAGUAAUGCGUUCAGCUAACCGAUACUAAUAGCCCGUAAGGCUUGAUC
rnacentral:rRNA from 1 species